AUAGCUGGAACUUAUUGUGAAGUAGUUUUAUCAGGUAAGCGAAUGAUUAGAGGCUUUGGGGAAGAAACUUCCUCGACCUAUUCUCAAACUUUAAAUAGGUAAGAUUUGAAGGAUACUUAAGUGAUCUUUCAAUACAUUGAAUAUCAAGUUCUUAGUGGGCCAUUUUUGGUAAGCAGAACUGGCGAUGUGGGAUGAACCGAACGUUAAGUUAAAGUGCCAAAUAGUACGCUCAUGAGAUACCAUAAAAGGUGUUGGUUCAUUUUGACAGCAGGACGGUGGCCAUGGAAGUCGGAACCCGCUAAGGAGUGUGUAACAACUCACCUGCCGAAUGAACUAGCCCUGAAAAUGGAUGGCGCUUAAGCGUAUAACUUAUACUUAACCCCUUACUUGAAUUAUUAUAACGAGUAAGGAGUAGGAGGGCG
rnacentral:rRNA from 1 species